rnacentral:tRNA from 1 species
AUAAAGUUAGUUUAAUUAAAAUGAUAAAUUGUGGUUUUAUAGAUAAAUGUAAUUUACUUUAUU